UCUCCCCCUCUUUUCCUUCUUCAUCAAACCCUCACCUCCUCCAUCCUUCUUUAGUCUCCAAACACCCACAACCUUCAGCUCUCUUCUCCACAAAAACCUCUCCUCCUACUAUUGAUCGCUGCUCUAAGAUGUUGGAAGGAAGUCCUCAGAGCUCCAAGAUGAAGAUUUCAGUGAGAAGCAUCUCCAUGGCCGGCUAAUCAUCACAUCUUGUAACAGGCA
rnacentral:lncRNA from 1 species